rnacentral:rRNA from 2 species
AGAGUUUGAUCCUGGCUCAGGACGAACGCUGGCGGCGUGCCUAAUACAUGCAAGUCGAGCGGACUUAAAAAGCUUGCUUUUUAAGUUAGCGGCGGACGGGUGAGUAACACGUGGGCAACCUGCCUGUAAGACUGGGAUAACUUCGGGAAACCGGAGCUAAUACCGGAUAAUCCUUUUCUACUCAUGUAGAAAAGCUGAAAGACGGUUUACGCUGUCACUUACAGAUGGGCCCGCGGCGCAUUAGCUAGUUGGUGAGGUAACGGCUCACCAAGGCGACGAUGCGUAGCCGACCUGAGAGGGUGAUCGGCCACACUGGGACUGAGACACGGCCCAGACUCCUACGGGAGGCAGCAGUAGGGAAUCUUCCGCAAUGGACGAAAGUCUGACGGAGCAACGCCGCGUGAGUGAUGAAGGUUUUCGGAUCGUAAAACUCUGUUGUUAGGGAAGAACAAGUACGAGAGUAACUGCUCGUACCUUGACGGUACCUAACCAGAAAGCCACGGCUAACUACGUGCCAGCAGCCGCGGUAAUACGUAGGUGGCAAGCGUUGUCCGGAAUUAUUGGGCGUAAAGCGCGCGCAGGCGGUCCUUUAAGUCUGAUGUGAAAGCCCACGGCUCAACCGUGGAGGGUCAUUGGAAACUGGGGGACUUGAGUGCAGAAGAGAAGAGUGGAAUUCCACGUGUAGCGGUGAAAUGCGUAGAGAUGUGGAGGAACACCAGUGGCGAAGGCGACUCNNGGUCUGUAACNGACGNGA